GUGAAGGUGUGUCGUGAGGCAUGCUGGAGGUAUCAGAAGUGCGAAUGCUGACAUAAGUAACGAUAAAGCGGGUGAAAAGCCCGCUCGCCGGAAGACCAAGGGUUCCUGUCCAACGUUAAUCGGGGCAGGGUGAGUCGACCCCUAAGGCGAGGCCGAAAGGCGUAGUCGAUGGGAAACGGGUUAAUAUUCCCGUACUUGGUGUUACUGCGAAGGGGGGACGGAGAAGGCUAUGUUGGCCGGGCGACGGUUGUCCCGGUUUAAGCGUGUAGGUGUGUGUUCCAGGUAAAUCCGGUUCACUUUAACACUGAGGCGUGACGACGAGGCACUACGGUGCUGAAGCAACAAAUGCCCUGCUUCCAGGAAAAGCCUCUAAGCAUCAGGUAACACGAAAUCGUACCCCAAACCGACACAGGUGGUCAGGUAGAGAAUACCAAGGCGCUUGAGAGAACUCGGGUGAAGGAACUAGGCAAAAUGGUGCCGUAACUUCGGGAGAAGGCACGCUGACACGUAGGUGAAGUGAUUUACUCAUGGAGCUGAAGUCAGUCGAAGAUACCAGCUGGCUGCAACUGUUUAUUAAAAACACAGCACUGUGCAAACACGAAAGUGGACGUAUACGGUGUGACGCCUGCCCGGUGCCGGAAGGUUAAUUGAUGGGGUCAGCGUAAGCGAAGCUCCUGAUCGAAGCCCCGGUAAACGGCGGCCGUAACUAUAACGGUCCUAAGGUAGCGAAAUUCCUUGUCGGGUAAGUUCCGACCUGCACGAAUGGCGUAAUGAUGGCCAGGCUGUCUCCACCCGAGACUCAGUGAAAUUGAACUCGCUGUGAAGAUGCAGUGUACCCGCGGCAAGACGGAAAGACCCCGUGAACCUUUACUAUAGCUUGACACUGAACAUUGAGCCUUGAUGUGUAGGAUAGGUGGGAGGCUUUGAAGUGUGGACGCCAGUCUGCAUGGAGCCGACCUUGAAAUACCACCCUUUAAUGUUUGAUGUUCUAACGUGGACCCGUAAUCCGGGUUGCGGACAGUGUCUGGUGGGUAGUUUGACUGGGGCGGUCUCCUCCUAAAGAGUAACGGAGGAGCACGAAGGUUGGCUAAUCCUGGUCGGACAUCAGGAGGUUAGUGCAAUGGCAUAAGCCAGCUUGACUGCGAGCGUGACGGCGCGAGCAGGUGCGAAAGCAGGUCAUAGUGAUCCGGUGGUUCUGAAUGGAAGGGCCAUCGCUCAACGGAUAAAAGGUACUCCGGGGAUAACAGGCUGAUACCGCCCAAGAGUUCAUAUCGACGGCGGUGUUUGGCACCUCGAUGUCGGCUCAUCACAUCCUGGGGCUGAAGUAGGUCCCAAGGGUAUGGCUGUUCGCCAUUUAAAGUGGUACGCGAGCUGGGUUUAGAACGUCGUGAGACAGUUCGGUCCCUAUCUGCCGUGGGCGCUGGAGAACUGAGGGGGGCUGCUCCUAGUACGAGAGGACCGGAGUGGACGCAUCACUGGUGUUCGGGUUGUCAUGCCAAUGGCACUGCCCGGUAGCUAAAUGCGGAAGAGAUAAGUGCUGAAAGCAUCUAAGCACGAAACUUGCCCCGAGAUGAGUUCUCCCUGAGACUUAGAGUCUCCUGAAGGAACGUUGAAGACGACGACGUUGAUAGGCCGGGUGUGUAAGCGCAGCGAUGCGUUGAGCUAACCGGUACUAAUGAACCGUGAGGCUUAACCUU
rnacentral:rRNA from 1 species